GAUGAACGCUGGCGGCGUGCCUAAUACAUGCAAGUCGAGCGAACAGACGAGGAGCUUGCUCCUCUGACGUUAGCGGCGGACGGGUGAGUAACACGUGGAUAACCUACCUAUAAGACUGGGAUAACUUCGGGAAACCGGAUCUAAUACCGGAUAAUAUAUUGAACCGCAUGGUUCAAUAGUGAAAGACGGUUUUGCUGUCACUUAUAGAUGGAUCCGCGCCGCAUUAGCUAGUUGGUAAGGUAACGGCUUACCAAGGCAACGAUGCGUAGCCGACCUGAGAGGGGGAUCGGCCACACUGGAACUGAGACACGGUCCAGACUCCUACGGGAGGCAGCAGUAGGGAAUCUUCCGCAAUGGGCGAAAGCCUGACGGAGCAACGCCGCGUGAGUGAUGAAGGUCUUCGGAUCGUAAAACUCUGUUAUUAGGGAAGAACAAAUGUGUAAGUAACUAUGCACGUCUUGACGGUACCUAAUCAGAAAGCCACGGCUAACUACGU
rnacentral:rRNA from 1 species